AUUGAACGCUGGCGGCAGGCCUAACACAUGCAAGUCGAACGAGUGGCGGACGGGUGAGUAAUGUCUGGGAAACUGCCCGAUGGAGGGGGAUAACUACUGGAAACGGUAGCUAAUACCGCAUACCAUCGGAUGUGCCCAGAUGGGAUUGGCUAGUAGGUGGGGUAACGGCUCACCUAGGCGACGAUCCCUAGCUGGGCUGAGAGGAUGACCAGCCAAACGGGAACGAGAAAAGGGUCCAGACUCCAACGGUAGGCAGCAGUGGGGAAUAUGGCACAAGGGGCGCAAGCCUGAGGCAGCCAUGCCGGGUGUAUGAAGAAGGCUUUCGGGUUGUAAAGUACUUUCAGCGAGGAGGCGUUACUCGCAGAAGAAGCACCGGCUAACUCCGUGCCAGCAGCCGCGGUAAUA
rnacentral:rRNA from 1 species